ACAAUUAAGAGAUAGAUGUUAUGUGGAUGUAAAAAUAUAAAGUGAUGUUAUCGUAAUAUAUCCUCCCAUUGUCCUCUUUCCCCUCCCCCCUGUAAUAACUUUGGUAGUCAGGGCAUUUGGGGAGGGCUGGCUUGUGACCAGGAGGCGAGGUGUAAAACACCUGACCUCCAAUCAAGAUGUAAGAAAGUAAUCUCCAGCAAUGGAUAGCAGAGAAAGAGUUGACUGACCAAACUUUUGGAGGGGCUAAGGCUAUCAAAGGCAGAGUAUGUCUUUUGUAGAUGAGGAUGUGGCUGCAAGUCACAGAGACUGCCAGUUCUGAACAUUUUUCCUUGUUCAGUCCUUUGUUAAGGUUUAAUAAACCUUUAAAAUGUUCAAAGUGAGAGUCGUUUCUCACAUGUGCAAUGCUGUGGGCCAUUUUCUCGAUCUGGUUUCCUUUACAUGGGUCCCAUCUGAGUGCUCACUUGGGCUACAGGCUGUAGGUGCUUGGGGCACUCUUGGAGUUGCUCUUGGAUCCCUUGAACAAUGGGGUUUGGCCCAGGAGGGCAAUUUGUGCUGCUUUGUGGCAGAGGAGAACUUCCCAGGCUAUUUUGUGUUUGCUGUGGGGAAGGUUGGUUAUUGCUUUGCAUAAAGUCACAGACCAGCAUGGAGCGUUUGCUUUGUGAUGUCAGGGCAUGGUUGCCACGUCCCAGUGGUGACAUGAGAAGGUUGCCUUGGUGCACGGAAGGCCUCAGUGUCAGAGCAGCCCUAGGGCUUGCUCAGAGCAGGAGCACCCUGCGCCUUGAGGCAUUUGUCAGUGGGCAGCUGCACACUGACAGGAGCCUUGUUUGUUCUAGUGUUGGAGCACAGCGUGCAAACUUGCACAGCAGUGCUACAAUGAUUCAGCAGCUUGCUGCUGCAGUGGUUACUGCCUAUGGAGUUACUUAUUCAGGCUAUUUUCUGACUCACCUGGCACGUCACAUAAAACAUGUAUUCAGUGGAGCUGCUCCUGAGUGCCUGAGAGGACUGGAUUUUCUUCACUCAAACCACAUGAUCCACCGAGGUCUGAAGAGCUGCAACAUCCUUCUCGGAACCAAUGGCUCUGUCAAGCUGGGUCAGUAUAUUCUUGGUCAGGUGCAGCAUUCCAGGGAUGUGGGUGUGGGGCUGCUUGGAGUGACUGCCAGCUCCCCAGAAAUGGUGCUGGUGACAGUGCAGGGACCCCUCUGUGAGCUGGUGACAUGGUUGCAAUGUGCACAGAGGCAUGACAAGGAACCACAAGCAGUCAACAGUGGCAUUGGCUUGUGUGUCCUUUCAAGUGGGAGGGAGCUACAAGUCUAAAGCUUCAGAUAAAAAGGCUACUGAUGGAGGUAGUGUAAAAAAAUGAUGAGGUUUUUUUGAAAUGGACAAUUCCUUAUUUCCUUGUGUUAUAAAUGAACAAUGAAAAAUAGCCAAUUUUGAUAAAAAAAUUAAAAAUAAAAUUUAUUUCGCGACCGUAAUACAUUCCCGACAGCCACCAAUCAAUCGGACAGCGUACCACCCCCGGGAGGUGAGCCGGGUGGACGUGAGAUUGGUCUCGCUAGCACCAAAUUCUCCUUGUCCACACUGGCUGCUCCAAGGUAGCAGUUCUUAUACGAUUUAUUUUGCCCGCGGCAGAGUCUCUUUGUCUCCUUCUAAGUUCUGCAUAUUCAAGUUGGUUUCAUUCUUCGGUUCGGGCUGCACAAAACCUUCGUCUGGGAAUAGAAUAAUACGUUUCCUCGAUUCCCGGAAUCUGGCAUUCAGAUGGAAGGUGUUGAUGGCUUUGGUCAUCUCAGACAGGUACCUCGUCCGGGCCAUCAUCGCUUGGGCGUCACUGGGUGCAUGCUUCUGUGAAUGCCCAUCUCCUGUGCAGCCCAGGUUGUAUUUUGCAUGUAAAUGUGGUGAUGCCACUCUGCCCAUCUGCCGUGGUUUCGCCAUCCUGGGGAAGAUGUGUACCGGCCGUUUAUUUUACACAUAUAUAUUUCAUACAUCUUUUAUUUCCACAAAUUACUAACCAUAUUUCUAACACUUGGCUAAAGCCCUGAGGAAAUAGAGCAGGGACAGAUUUCCAGCAGAUGACACAGUGCAUUCUUAGACUGAGAGUGGGGAAUUUUUUUGCUUAGUUUCCUAAAUGGAGCUGGCUUUGAUGGUUUUUUGUUUUCUCCACAGCUGACUUUGGCCUCUUUGCUCAGCUCACUCCUGAGCCGAGUAGACAAAGCUCCGUGGCCAGCACUUCUGGGUGGAUGGCGCCUGAAGUGGUGACAGGUCAACCAUAUGGCCCCAAAGUGGACAUAUGGUCUUUUGGAAUCGUGGGCAUUGAAAUGGUGGAAGGAGAAGCUCCUUACUGGAAAGAAACUUCUGGCAUGUGUUGGAGCUCUGUCUCUGAAGGACAAAAAUUUUUCAGUGGAAUGGUUGGAUGUGUGAUAAAUAUCCUUCAAAAUGGAGGUUCAAUCAUCCGAGUUUCAAUUGUAAAGCAAAAGAAAACUGGAAAUUGAAAAGGAAGAGAAAAUGGAUAAGAAAAAAAGGAAAAGGAAGAGAAAAAAAUAAAAGGAAAAGGAAAAGGAAAAGGAAAAGGAAAAGGAAAAGAAAAAGAAAAAGAAAAAGAAAAAGAAAA